GGCAUGCCUAAUACAUGCAAGUCGAACGAACCAUCCUGAUGAUUGAAGCUUGCUUCAUGAUUCAGAUCUUGGUGAGUGGCGGACGGGUGAGUAACACGUGGGUAACCUGCCCAGAAGUGGGGGAUAACAUUUGGAAACAAGUGCUAAUACCGCAUAACAACUUAGAUCACAUGAUCUUUGUUUAAAAGAUGGUUUUGCUAUCUCUUCUGGAUGGACCCGCGGCGUAUUAGCUAGUUGGUGAGGUAAUAGCUCACCAAGGCGAUGAUACGUAGCCGACCUGAGAGGGUAAUCGGCCACAUUGGGACUGAGACACGGCCCAAACUCCUACGGGAGGCAGCAGUAGGGAAUCUUCCACAAUGGACGAAAGUCUGAUGGAGCAAUGCCGCGUGAGUGAAGAAGGUUUUCGGAUCGUAAAACUCUGUUGUUGAAGAAGAAUAUAUGUGAGAGUAACUGUUCACGUACUGACGGUAUUCAACCAGAAAGCCACGGCUAACUACGUGCCAGCAGCCGCGGUAAUACGUAGGUGGCAAGCGUUGUCCGGAUUUAUUGGGCGUAAAGAGAAUGUAGGCGGUUUAUUAAGUUUGAAGUGAAAGCCCUCGGCUCAACCGAGGAAGUGCUUCGAAAACUGGUAAACUUGAGUGCAGAAGAGGAAAGUGGAACUCCAUGUGUAGCGGUGGAAUGCGUAGAUAUAUGGAAGAACACCAGUGGCGAAGGCGGCUUUCUGGUCUGUAACUGACGCUGAGAUUCGAAAGCAUGGGUAGCAAACAGGAUUAGAUACCCUGGUAGUCCAUGCCGUAAACGAUGAGUGCUAAGUGUUGGAGGGUUUCCGCCCUUCAGUGCUGCAGCUAACGCAUUAAGCACUCCGCCUGGGGAGUACGAUCGCAAGAUUGAAACUCAAAGGAAUUGACGGGGGCCCGCACAAGCGGUGGAGCAUGUGGUUUAAUUCGAAGCAACGCGAAGAACCUUACCAGGUCUUGACAUACCAUGAAAAGCUUAGAGAUAAGUCUUUCCCUUCGGGGACAUGGAUACAGGUGGUGCAUGGUUGUCGUCAGCUCGUGUCGUGAGAUGUUGGGUUAAGUCCCGCAACGAGCGCAACCCUUAUUAUCAGUUGCCAGCAUUCAGUUGGGCACUCUGGUGAGACUGCCGGUGAUAAACCGGAGGAAGGUGGGGACGACGUCAAAUCAUCAUGCCCCUUAUGACCUGGGCUACACACGUGCUACAAUGGUCGGUACAACGUGCUGCGAACUCGCGAGGGCAAGCAAAUCACUUAAAACCGAUCUCAGUUCGGAUUGUAGGCUGCAACUCGCCUACAUGAAGCUGGAAUCGCUAGUAAUCGCGGAUCAGCAUGCCGCGGUGAAUACGUUCCCGGGCCUUGUACACACCGCCCGUCACACCAUGAGAGUUUGUAACACCCAAAGUCGGUGGGGUAACCCUUCGGGGAACUAGCCGCCUAAGGUGGGAC
rnacentral:rRNA from 1 species